UUGUAAUGUGAGCAGCCUGGGUGCGUCAGUGCAGGUAAGUGACAUGAAAAUGUUCGCCGUGGAGGGGAGAGCCCCGUCCAGCCUGCACAGGGCGUGCCGUACAGGGCUGUCUCGAAUGAGUCGGGUAGCUUGGGAAUGCUGCUCUAAGAUCGGUGGUAAAUUUCAUCGAAGGCUAAAUACUGCUGGAAGACCGAUAGUGAACAAGUACCGUGAGGGAAAGAUGAAAAGCACUUUGAAAAGAGGGUGAAAAGAAUCUGAAACCGUUGUGAGGGAAGCGGAUUGCGUUGCAGUAACUGUGGGCGCCGGUGUGUUCAGCCUGUUUCGGCGGGUGUAGUGGCACCGGUGGCUCCGUCUGCUGUGGGUUUGUGGUGGCUGAUUGCAAGGCUGCUGCGGACUGAGGGCUCCGUGCUGCUUUGCGGCGGCACGUGAGGACGGCAGGGUGACGACGCGAUACGACCCGUCUUGAAACACGGACCAAGGAGUCUAGCACAGCUGCGAGUCUGAGGGUGUCAAAGCCUGUGGGCGAAGUGAAAGCGAAAGAUGGCGGUAAUUCCAUAAUUUCAGAAUGACAAAGUUGUUGCAAUUUGGGG
rnacentral:rRNA from 1 species